rnacentral:rRNA from 1 species
CCUCCUUCGGGAGGGGAUUAGUGGCGAACGGGUGAGUAACACGUGGGCAAUCUGCCCUUCACUCUGGGACAAGCCCUGGAAACGGGGUCUAAUACCGGAUAAUACUCCUGCCUGCAUGGGCGGGAGUUGAAAGCUCCGGCGGUGAAGGAUGAGCCCGCGGCCUAUCAGCUUGUUGGUGGGGUAAUGGCCCACCAAGGCGACGACGGGUAGCCGGCCUGAGAGGGCGACCGGCCACACUGGGACUGAGACACGGCCCAGACUCCUACGGGAGGCAGCAGUGGGGAAUAUUGCACAAUGGGCGAAAGCCUGAUGCAGCGACGCCGCGUGAGGGAUGACGGCCUUCGGGUUGUAAACCUCUUUCAGCAGGGAAGAAGCGAAAGUGACGGUACCUGCAGAAGAAGCGCCGGCUAACUACGUGCCAGCAGCCGCGGUAAUACGUAGGGCGCAAGCGUUGUCCGGAAUUAUUGGGCGUAAAGAGCUCGUAGGCGGCUUGUCACGUCGGAUGUGAAAGCCCGAGGCUUAACCUCGGGUCUGCAUUCGAUACGGGCUAGCUAGAGUGUGGUAG